UAUGACAACCGUACCUAUCAGAGGGAAGUAACCCGGCGAAAGUCGGACUAAUACCGCAUAAAACAGGGGCACCGCAUGGUGAUAUUUGUUAAAGAAAUUCGCUGAUAGAUGGGCAUGCGUUCCAUUAGGUAGUUGGUGAGGUAACGGCUCACCAAGCCGACGAUGGAUAGGGGAACUGAGAGGUUGGUCCCCCACACUGGUACUGAGACACGGACCAGACUCCUACGGGAGGCAGCAGUGAGGAAUAUUGGUCGAAUGGGCGGGAGCCUGAACCAGCCAAGUCGCGUGAAGGAAAAGAAGGAUCUAUGGUUCGUAAACUUCUUUUGCAGGGGAAUAAAGUGCAGGACGUGUCCUGUUUUGUAUAGUACCCUGAGAAUAAGGAUCGGCCUAACUCCGUGCCAGCAGCAGC
rnacentral:rRNA from 1 species